UAUUAAAAUUGUUGCAGUUAAAGCGCUCGUAGUUGAAUUUCAAGGAAUCAAUAUUUUAAGUAAUGCUUUGUAUAUUUAUAACAAAGUUGUACGUUAAGAAUAAACGCCAAGCGUUAUAUUUUUUCUGUUACAUUUUGUUUUAUUAAUAUAUAUAUGCGUUCUUAUUAUAAAAAUGAUUCUUGUUAAAAUUCUUUUGUAUAAUUUUUUAUGCAUGGGAAUUUUGUUACUUUGAGUAAAUUAGAGUGUUCAAAGCAAACAGUUAAAACAGUUUCUGUGUUUGAAUACUACAGCAUGGAAUAACAAAAUUGAACAAGUCAGAAUUUUGUUCUUUUUUCUUAUUUUGGCUUAGUUACGAUUAAUAGGAGUAGCUUGGGGGCAUUUGUAUUCAGAUGUCAGAGGUGAAAUUCUUAGAUUUUCUGGAGACAAGCAACUGCGAAAGCAUUUGUCUAAAAUACUUCCAUUAAUCAAGAACGAAAGUUAAGGGAGUGAAGACGAUCAGAUACCGUCGUAAUCUUAACCAUAAACUAUGCCGACUAGGUGUUGGAUGAUAGAGUAAAAAAUAAAAGGGACAUUCAUAUAUAUGAGUGUUUCUUUUAGAUAGCUUCCUUCAGUACCUUAUGAGAAAUCAAAGUCUUUGGGUUCUGGGGCGAGUAUUCGCGCAAGCGAGAAAGUUAAAAGAAUUGACGGAAGGGCACCACCAGGCGUGGAGCUUGCGGCUUAAUUUGACUCAACACGGGGAAACUCACUAGUUUAAGACAAGAGUAGGAUUGACAGAU
rnacentral:rRNA from 1 species